AUUACUACCCAUGGCUAUUGGACAAAGACCAAGCCCUCUUUAGGAGAAGAGUCAGAUUCCAUUCACAGUUUAGACUCCUCUACCGAGGAAGACCCAGGGAGGACAACUGAAACCUCAGAAGGCUCUGACUCAUCUCCUUAAGACAUAGGAAUAUGAAUUGACCACCUUCUUCCUCAUCUUCUACUUUUUUUCUUAGGGGCCGAAAUCAGAGUUGCCGGACCUGAUUGUUAAUCUAUCUGAUUACAAGUUAUCCCAUUUAGACAGGUCAGUAAUAAAUAAAAGUUUAAGCAUUUGCCCCACCCCUAAAUUUAACACAUUUUGAGCACAUAUAGAUUUAUUUAAACUGUUUAGAACCAUUAACGUAAGAGAACUUUUUAAAAACAAUACAUCAAAUACAACCGCAGAUCCCUUCAAACUUAAAAGUACGUUCUGCCCCACCAGACAUGAUGUAUAUUAAAUGCUUUGAAAAAAUUGUAGAGACUUCAAUAAGUUAAUUACUUAUAGACAGCCAUUCCACUCAAACUUAUCUGAUAGGAAGAACUACUCUAGUCAAAUUAAGUAACCUUAAAAAGGUAGUCUUGAAACCAACAGACAAAGGAGGAGAGUUAGUGUUACUUAACAAAAGAAAUGAUGUUAAGGAAGUCAACCUUCAGUUAUCUAAUAAAAAUUUUUAUAAACCCAUCUCAACAGACCCCACCAAUCACCAAUUUCUUAUUAGGGCGGUGUGUUAAGAGGGAUUAUCCAUAGGAUUCAUUUCAACCUCAACAUUUAAAAUACUUACAAAAUGAUUUUCCUAGAAUGCAAAUCUUUUACAUUUUACCUAAGAUCCACCCCCAGGCCGACCUACAAUUUCAGGCUCAUCCUCCGUGUUGGAACAAGUUGUGAAAUAUUUAGAUUCUGUCAACUUUUUGUCUGUGAUUCCUAUAUUGAGGAUACUAAGCACUUUAUUAUAUUAAUAUUGUUGAAAAUCUAAAAAUUGAGGACAGUAUUUUGGUGACUACUGAUGUCAUCUCACUUUAUACUAAUAUUCCAUUAGAUGAGACAUGAAUUACUAUACAGAACAUUAAAUACAAUUGAACCAAUCCACAUCCACCCACGCAUUUCCUCAUGGACCUUUUAGACAUAGUACUAGAGAAAAAUUAUUUUAGUUUUCAAGAUCAAUUCUAUUUUCAGGUCUUCUGUGUGGCAAUGGGGAAUCAAUUGGCCCCCUCUAUUGCCAAUUCAUGGCAGCUUUAGAAAAUACUAUACUUUUGAAUCCAACUUUAAAUAAGUAUUAUGCUAACAUAAUAGAUUAUGGCCAAUUUAUUGAUGAUAUAUUCAUGGUUAUUAAUACUACUAAGGCCACAGUAGGUGUCUCCAACUGGAUACACCCUAGUAUCAAGUUUACCAGCCAUUUGAAUAUGACACAUAUCAAUUUCUUGGAUGUCACUGUAUAUAAACAUCAGAAAGACCUUUUGGUUAGGAACUACAGGAACCAACAGAUAAAAUUAUCUACCUAUUUCAAACACAUUACUCAAUUUUAAAAAAAAAAGUUGGUACCUACUCCAAGACAUUCCAGGUUGUGACAAAUUACCUAUCUUUGGAAAUAGACACUAAAAAUGUAAGAUCUUCUAGUUCACACAUUUUUAAUUACUCCUACUAACACCUCUAAGAGUAAUUUAAAAGGCCACUAUGCUUGUGGACACUGUAAGUACUGUAGACAAGCUUGGAAGAUCAAAGAAGUAUAUGACCACAGGAAUAACGUGGGUACCACACUCAAACAUUUUUCAGCAUGUGCUACUAGUAAUGUCAUCUAUCUUUUGAUGUGAAUAUGACCUAUGGUACAUUGGGAAAACAACUAGAACUUUAAGAACCAGAAUCUCUGAACACAAGUCUAGAAUUAAACACUUUGCAACAGAAUCCUUUUUAUACUCCCAUUUUACCCAAUACAAUCACUCCUCUACCUCUUAAGUUUUGUGCUUUGGAAUGCGUCACACAGAAACCACACAUGGACUUCAGAGAAACUAUUAUCACAAAGGGAAAUGUAUUGGAUCUUUAUAUUUAAGACCUUUUCCCCUUGGGGACUCAAUGAAUCACAUACUUUCAGCUGCUUCCUUUAAGCCAUCAAAUAUCCCUUUAAACCCACUCACUGAACCUUUAGAACUACUCGCUAUUUGAAUCCCUAUGAGCAGAAUUAAUUUCCCCUAAAGCUAUCAGGCAAAAUAUGAGUAUACUGUUAGAUAUAAGGGUCAUCCUACCUAUGUUUACUUCCUGUAGUAUUCCUGGUAAAUUGCUUGUUAUAUUAUGUCUUGUUAUAGAUGUGAGUUAUUAGUUGCUGACCACCUCAUGACCUGAAGGAGGAUUUUCCCAAAACAGGGUAUAUAUAAAAAAAAACAGGCACCCGUUGCAUUGAUACUGUACCUGCAACUGGACUUUUCCACUUUUUGUAUUGGAGGUUUUUCAUUCUAUUUAGACCUUUACAGCUCUUUUGGACCAUGACUGACUUUAUUUGUAGAGACUUUUUAUUUUGAGAGCUGUGCUCCAUUAUUAUCUUCUCUAUCUCACAUAAUACCUACAUGACCAACCACAGGUUCACUUUUACUUCUUUUGGAAGAAUUUCUCAUCGAACUUGGACCCCUGAAGCUUACAUACAUUGGGACUGAUAUCAGACUGAGAUACUUUCUCUUUGGUAACAGUUGCUCCUUUUCACUGUAUUUUCCAUGUUACUGUAUUGAGCUUUGUAUUGGGGAUUUUGGUGUCACUAUAUAUAGUCAUUACAGUUCUCCUUUAGCAGACUAUAUAUAUUGUGUUUGUUUACAUACCUUUCCAGUAUUCUGGGAUAUUGGUUAGUAGUAUAGGUAUACGGGGCCCAGCAAAACAGUGGUCGCUGCUGUCCAUCCCUCUCGGCAAGGCCCUUAAAAGGGAAGGCGAGAGAAGGAGCUCUGUCUGGCUCCUUCGCCUUAAUUCCCUUCCUGGGGCUGAUGGAGCAUGCUUGCCAUUGCCACCGUUGCCAGCGGGACCGCCUCAUCCCUCUCCUCCCUUCCCUUCUUGAGGGCCUGGCCGGGCGAACCUUCAAAAGCCCAGCCUGGGCCCAGAGGAGCAGCGGUUGAGCGUGCAAUGCUGCUGCCGUCCCUUCCGGCAGGGCUUCUUCUCGUGAGGGCCUUGCCAGGAUGGGACCUCCAUCAGGCUCCUUAGUAUUCCUUCCCCCUUCCAUCCUUCCAAGGCCAAGCCUGAGCCCACGGUGUGGUGGGCAAGUGUGCCCAUAUCUUGCAGCUUCUCAGCUUGGGUGCCACAGCCACUUAUGGCAAGACUGCAACCCCCCCACACACCUCCUUCUCCCCAACUGGGGAGCGGCAGACAAGCCCCCCCCCCAAGCUUCCAGUGAGGCCACUCCUCCCUCCCUCCUUGCCUUGUCUCCUCCCUUCCUUGACCCCAGCCAUUAUAGGCUCAGCAAGAACUUGGCCCAGCUGGGGCCUGGUGGAGGCUAGGCCUACUUUUAGGCUCUUCCUUCCUGUCUGCCUUAGGCUGGCUUUAGGCUUGCUUUAGGGCCCAAACAAGGGCCCUGUGAGGCAAGGCCUACUUGCCCUUCCUUCAUCCUAACCUUCCGCUCUUCCUCCUUUAGAAUUACUUGUAGGCUGAGCCAGUGUCUAAUGCUGAUCUUGACCAUGUGGUGCACGGGGUGCUUGGUCAGCCAUCUUGACCACGUCUCUUCAGCCAUUUGGUUUCAACUACAACCUUGUCAAUCACUGGUUAAGCAAAGUCAUUUGCAGUGUAGUCAGCCAGUACGGACAACUUUCUCUACCAUUACCUAUCCAAUUAAUCUUGAAUCUUUUGCAUUCAAGUUUAAAUGUUCUUACCUAAUUCUGCUUGCUAAUUCGUAGUUAACCCAGAUGGCACCCAGUAAAGGUCGCAGAGGAGCAAAAGGGAAAGACUGGCACCAAGGGCACUCAAGCAUGCAGCACCUAAGGACAUGGCCCAAGCAAACAAGCGUGUGGCACUGAAAUGACGUGGAUCAGGCCAAUUCUGACUUUAACACAAAGAGGAGUGGAACAGACUUUCAUCUUAGCCAAGAUAGAAGAGCUAGAGAAGAGACAGACCCAUUCUUGGACUGCCGAUGUCCCGCUUCAGACAACUCGCCAACCCCACAGACGAUGUGCCAACCCCACUGCCUCCAGAGUUAUGGAAGCUUGGAAAAGUGAACUUAUAAGGACUACAGGCUUGUCAGCAACAAGAAAGCAGUAUGGUAGGGCUGUGAUGGAAUUUGAACAGUAUAGGAACACGUUUGGCAUGCCCAGGGUUUGGCCCGUUCUGGUGGAUAAUGUCAACAGGCACAAAAAUAUACAUUUUAGAGGCUUGACCUCCCCCCCCCCCCCCCUUCAAUAAGAACCAAGGUCUCUGCCCUGUCUUUUGCGUCAAAGGCAUUAGGAUACCCUGAUUUCUCAAAUGAGUUUGGAAUUCGUAAAAUACUGGUGGGAUGGUUGUGGGAAAUGGGCCGAUUCCGAAACUAAUUAAUUAGAAACCUCUGUAUUUAAGAAUAAUUUAGAAACCCAACUAGAGCUCCUAUUAAGAACUGAAGUUAUGGCUGGAUCAAAACCUAAAGAUAUUAAAUAUCUCAAGCAGAAGAAAUAAAUAUGAGCAACAUUAUGCGUGAAAUUCAAAAAUUAAGUGACAAACAGGAUACUCUUCAAAAAGAAUUGUAGAAGGAACUACAAACCAUGACAUCAAAACAUGAACUGCAACAGAAACAACUUCAGAGAGAAAUGAUGGAAAUGAAGGAGAUAAAAUAAGUUGGAUCUAUAAAGAAGAAACUAAUGAAAGCUCUAAGUGAUAUUAGUGAUCUGAAAUCAGGGAACAUUAAAAUGGAAAAAGCUCAAAAUAAAAUACCUUACAAAGUAAAAAUGAAAAAUUUGAAAGAAUCCAAGAAAAAAAUGGCCAAAAUGAAUUGGAAGACAAGAAGAUAUACAACAAACGAUAAUACAAAUUGUGUCUUAAGAUAUUCGAACGGGAAGAACAAGAGUGUGAAGUGGAAAUUGACCAUGUAUUUUACAUUCAAACUAAUUAUGCCAGAAGGAAUCAAGUCCCUAGAGACACCAUAGUCUGCUUCAUAAGAAAAAGAACACAAGAUGAGAUUUUAAGACAAAAUAAUCAAAAUCCUAGUUUCCACAAAACUCAAAAUAUUGCGAUUUUGAAGGAAUUCCCUAUAACUACACUGAAUAGACAGAGAAAGUACUUCUUCCUCACUGAUGAAUUGAAAAAACUGAACAUAAGAUUUAGAUGGGAAACACAAGGCGGCCUGAUGGUUACAUACAAAGAAGAAAAAUUUUGUCUGACUUCAGAAGAAAAGGCCAGGGAUUUCUACAAAAAAACUGAAAAAAGAUAAAUUGGUGAAAUCACCCCCGCAAUCACAGACUCAAUGAAGUCACCAAUGAAGGGGGGAAUGCCUAAAAGGGCUAGAUACCACUCAUUGGAAGAUGGAACAAAAGCCGCAGGGCCUAUAUACUGAAGAUACAGAAGAUGACAAAAAUCCAGAUGAAUCGGAACAUAAGAAAUAAAUAAUGGCUGAAUUUACACAAUGAAAUGCUAUUCUAACAAUGUUAACGGUAUUAAUUCCCUGAAUAAGAGAAAUCAAUUUCAAUCAAAUAAAAAAAGGCAAAUACAAAAUAAUGGCAUUACAGGAAACACACAUAGCCCAAAAACAUUCAAAGUAUCUUACCCAAACAAAUUUAGGAAAAUAAUUUUACUCCUCAGUGGAAGGAAAGAAAAGAGGGGUGGUCCUUUAUAUCGAUAAAGAUAUUCCCACGGAAAUACAAUUUAAAGAUGAAGGAUGAUUGCAGUAAAAAUAACUAUUGGUCUGAAAAAAAUAUUACUGUGUAACGUCUACACCCAAAUGGCUCCAAAACAAAAUUUGUAAAAACAGAGAGAGAAGAUACUGCAAACUGAAUUUGACAUUAUUAUAUUUGGGGACUUUAAUGGAGUGCUUGAUAAAAAUAUGGAUAAAACCAAGAAGCAGAUGGAAAAGGGAAAAAGGAGCAAUCAGUACCCUACCAAAUAAUUUUUUUAAAUUAAAAGAGGAAUUGGGGCUAGAUGAUAGAGAGAUCAAAAAAGAUUAUACUUUUUACUCCAAUAGGCAUCUCUCCUGGUCAAGGAUAGAUAUGAUUUGGACAUCCAAAACUAUCUCAUCCAAAGUUGACUAUAUAAAAAUUAACACAAGAGAUAUAUUGAACCACAAUGCUAUAGAAAUUGUUGAAUUGGGAAUGAUUGUAUAUAGAAUUGUUUAAAUGUAAUUGAGUUAUAGUGAUGCAAUGUGAGCUGGAGAUUGCAUCAUGCACUGUCUGCUGUCCACUAUGCGAGUGUGUAAAGAGUUAACUGUGUAUUACAUCAGACAGCAGAGGUGGUUAUAAAUAGCUCCCUGUGUUAUCUGUUCUUCCCUCUGCCCUCUGUUCUCUCUGCCUCUCUGCACUCUGUAUAUAUCGUCUUGAGAGAUAUCCGUUUGUUAGUAAAUCUUUUGUAGAUAGCCAAA